GGGGAAUAUUGGGCAAUGGGGGCAACCCUGACCCAGCGACGCCGCGUGGGGGAAGACGGCCUUCGGGUUGUAAACCUCUUUUGUACGGGGAGAAGGAAGUGACGGUACUGUACGAAUAAGUCCCGGCUAACUACGUGCCAGCAGCCGCGGUAAUACGUAGGGGACGAGCGUUGUCCGGAAUUACUGGGCGUAAAGGGCUCGCAGGCUGUGCUGCAAGUCAGCUGUUAAAUGUCUGGGCUUAACCCGGGCAUGCGGUUGAGACUGCGGUGCUGGAGUGCUGUAGAGGCAAGUGGAAUUCCCAGUGUAGCGGUGAAAUGCGUAGAUAUUGGGAAGAACACCGGUGGAGAAGGCGACUUGCUGGGCAGCAACUGACGCUGAGGCGCGAAAGCCAGGGGAGCAAACGG
rnacentral:rRNA from 1 species